rnacentral:rRNA from 1 species
AUGGCGCCGGCGGCUCUGCGGCUUCCAGGUCGCGGUGGAGCAGCUCAAGGCGCCGGCGGCUCGGCGGUGGCAGGUCGCGGGAAGCAACGUGGCCCGCGGUGGAGCAGCUCGACGCGUCAGCGGCCAGGUCGUGGGCAGCUGCGUGGUAGGCGGUGGAGAAGCUCGACAGGCCGGUCGAUGGCGGCGCCGGCUCGAGGUGGUGGCGGUGUGGCCGGCCUCGGCGGGAAGACGGGGCUCGUCGGGCCCGUGCACCUUUUCAUGGUGGCGGUGUGGCCGACCUCGGCGCCGGCCUCGAGGUGGUGGUCCAUGGCGGCGCCGGCUCAAGGUGGUGGCGCCGGCGUCGGCGCGGAGGCGGGGCUCCUCCAGGUGGGCGACGGGCUCGGUCCAGGUGGAGUCCUUGCCGGCCGCGCCUGCUGCUCCUUGCCGGCUGGCAGAGAGAGAGAGAGAGAUAAGGGAGAGAAGGAGGAGGAGGAGGAAGAGAUAACUGACAUGUGGGCCCCACAUGUCAGUUAA